rnacentral:rRNA from 1 species
CCUACGGGAGGCUGCAGUGAGGAAUAUUGGUCAAUGGGCGCUAGCCUGAACCAGCCAAGUAGCGUGAAGGAUGACUGCCCUAUGGGUUGUAAACCUCUUUUAUAUGGGAAUAAUGUGUAGUAUGUAUACUGCUUUGCAUGUACCUUAUGAAUAAGGAUCGGCUAACUCCGUGCCAGCAGCCGCGGUAAUACGGAGGAUCCGAGCGUUAUCCGGAUUUAUUGGGUUUAAAGGGAGCGUUGGCGGGUUGUUAAGUAGGUUGUUAAAGUGUGCGGCUUAACCGUUAAAUUGCAGUUAAUCAUGGCAGACUUGAGUACAGAAGAGGUAGGCGGAAUACGUGGUGUAGCGGUGAAAUGCUUAGAUAUAACGUAGAACUCCGAUAGCGAAGGCAGCCUACUAGACUGUAACUGACGCUGAUGCACGAGAGUGUGGGUAUCAAACAGGAUUAGAUACCCUUGUAGUC